rnacentral:rRNA from 1 species
CACCAGAUCGGCGCAGAGAUGCAUUUUCCCUUGUGGUUGUGUACAGGUGGUGCAUGGUUGUCGUCAGCUCGUGUCGUGAGAUGUUGGGUUAAGUCCCGCAACGAGCGCAACCCUUGCUUAUGUUGCCAGCACGUGAUGUGGGACUCAUGAGAGACUGCCGGGGUUAACUCGGAGGAAGGUGGGAUGACGUCAAAUCAUCAUGCCCCUUAUGUCCAGGGCUUCACACAUGCUACAAUGGUCGGUACAACGCGUGUGCGACACUGUGAGGUGAAGCUAAUCGCUCUAAAGCCGGUCGUAGUUCGGAUUGGGGUCUGCAACUCGACCCCAUGAAGUCGGAGUCGCUAGUAAUCGCAGAUCAGCAACGCUGCGGUGAAUACGUUCCCGGGCCUU